AAAAAUGGGAGAGCUUAGACCCUUCUUCUUUAGAUUGAGAAAAACGGCGCAUCUGAUUUUUGGCACUUCUUCUCCGCUCUUUCUUUUUCUUCUCCUUCUUCAGUUCACCUCACAGACCAUACUUCAGAAGAGUUUUAAAUAGAAAACGUUUGGAGUCUUUGUUGUGGUAGGUCUAAAGUUGGUUACAGUUGUGGAUUUGUGCUUUGUGAUUUCUGAAAUUGAAGCUGUGCGGGGUUGAGUCCACAGUUGUUGAGCUCCGAUUUACUAAUUUCAGCUCUUAUUUGGCCUCUUCUUCUAAAUUAGUUAUUUGAACAACUUGGUAUAUCCUCCUUGAAACAACUUUCAGAUCUGUUUAAUGUGAAAUUUGAUAUAUUUCUUAGCAGAUUUGACUGUUAUUCUUUGAAUUUGUGACUUGCCAUCUUUAUAGUAAUUAUUAAAUCCCAUGAAAAAUGAUGGACAAUACUUUCAGAACAAUGUUGGUUUUAUUUGCUGGAUUAUCUUUCAAAGUGUUAUUGGUGUUAUUGUGUCCUUUGUGACUACAAUGCGUCAAUUUGAUUUGUUUAAAUCAGUUAGAUUCAUAAGGAAUUUAUGUUGGCUAAAUUAAGGAUAGCUGUUUCCAUUGGAUUCUGGUGCCAGAAUUUAACUUUGUUGGCAUUUGUGGUUUUUUACAUCUAACCUAAGAUCCUAUUAAAGUACAUGUGAAUUUUGAAGCAGUGAAUCAUUAAUCAAGGA
rnacentral:lncRNA from 1 species